UACGGAGGAUCCAAGCGUUAUCCGGAUUUAUUGGGUUUAAAGGGUGCGUAGGCGGCCUAUUAAGUCAGGGGUGAAAGACGGUAGCUCAACUAUCGCAGUGCCUUUGAUACUGAUAGGCUUGAAUACACUUGAAGUAGGCGGAAUGUGACAAGUAGCGGUGAAAUGCAUAGAUAUGUCACAGAACACCGAUUGCGAAGGCAGCUUACUAAAGUGUGAUUGACGCUGAGGCACGAAAGCGUGGGGAUCAAACAGG
rnacentral:rRNA from 1 species